GUGUGAUUGAAAUUUCUCGGCCUCUUUGGAUCUCUCGGCUUUCUCCAUUGGUUUUGUUGCUCAAACCAAUUUCCAUUCCCUCGCAGCGAGAGGUGUAGUGUUAAAGGAAAGGUAAGAGAUGGAUUUGGACCAGUGGAUCGCGAAGGUGAAGGAAGGGCAGCAUCUUCUGGAAGACGAGCUUCAGCUUCUUUGCGAAUAUGUAAAAGAGAUCCUCAUUGAGGAGUCCAAUGUGCAGCCAGUGAAUAGCCCGGUAACUGUUUGUGGUGAUAUUCAUGGCCAAUUUCAUGAUCUGAUGAAACUUUUCCAGACAGGGGGUCAUGUACCUGAGACAAAUUAUAUCUUUAUGGGAGACUUUGUUGAUAGAGGGUACAAUAGUCUAGAAGUUUUCACCAUCCUAUUACUUCUUAAAGCUAGAUACCCAGCUAAUAUUACCCUUUUACGAGGAAACCAUGAAAGUAGGCAACUAACCCAGGUCUAUGGAUUUUAUGAUGAAUGCCAGAGGAAGUAUGGAAAUGCUAAUGCAUGGCGGUAUUGUACAGAUGUUUUUGACUACCUAACACUUUCAGCAAUAAUAGAUGGAACUGUGCUCUGUGUUCAUGGCGGUCUUUCUCCUGACAUUCGAACAAUUGAUCAGAUAAGGGUUAUUGAUCGAAAUUGUGAAAUUCCACAUGAGGGACCCUUUUGUGAUCUGAUGUGGAGUGAUCCUGAAGAUAUUGAGACAUGGGCUGUGAGUCCCCGUGGGGCAGGCUGGCUUUUUGGAUCCAGGGUCACUUCUGAGUUCAAUCACAUAAAUAAUCUUGAUCUUGUUUGUCGUGCCCAUCAACUUGUGCAAGAAGGCCUCAAGUAUAUGUUUCAAGAUAAAGGCCUUGUAACUGUAUGGUCUGCACCUAAUUAUUGUUACCGAUGUGGAAACGUUGCUUCUAUUUUGAGCUUCAAUGAAAAUAUGCUAAAAGAUUUAUUCAAGUAUCUCCCGACACAAGCACUCACCAGAAAGGCAAAGGCUUCUCAAAACUACAUUGGCACAUAACAAACUACUGGCUUGAUAGGCUAGCUCUCUUCACCGAAAGUUCUUCAAACUUCUUCUGAUAUACUUUCCUUGUUUCCUACUUCAAUGCUAUCCCCGUCACUGCUUGGAUUGUACUUCUGGUGAUGGUUCCAGGAGAGAGAGGUUAAAUUUUUCACUGAAACGGAGGAGAACAACCAGAUGAGGGGGCCUAGGACAGGCGUUCCAUAUUUCUUGUAACUGAAUUUUGGUUUAUCGUAAAAUUUGUAAUAGUAAAAUGGCUUUAUUAUUGUAUUUGGACAUUGAUUGUUGUGUAAUGUGGGUUUUUGGAUUGCAACACUUAAAAGGUGGAUCUAAUUAUUUGCCACUUGAUUCCCAUUUUUCUUUUUCCCUUCCUAUUUUUUCUCUAAAAUUCUUUCAAUGUACUAAAACGCUUAAAUAGCAGUGCUCAUUUUUACCCACAAGGAUUACCUUUGACGGGGGAAGAUUGGUAUCCUUCAGGCUUGAUUUGGACGGUUAGUUGUUGGAUCAUUCUUUAUUUUCUCAUGUUGCGAAAUACAAUGCUAGCAAGUCUGGCACUUCCACACCGAAUCUUAGAACUCUUUGUAUCAAUGAAAUUUCGUAAAAUU